GGCGUAUGCUUCGUAGGUGACCUGCGGAGGAUCAUUAUCGAGUUUUGACCGGGUUGUAGCUGGCCUUCCGAGGCAUGUGCACGCCCUGCUCAUCCACUCUACACCUGUGCACUUACUGUGGGCUUCAGAUUGCGAGGCACGCUCUUUACCGGGCUUGCGGAGCAUAUCUGUGCCUGCGUUUAUCACAAACUCUAUAAAGUAACAGAAUGUGUAUUGCGAUGUAACACAUUUAUAUACAACUUUCAGCAACGGAUCUCUUGGCUCUCGCAUCGAUGAAGAACGCAGCGAAAUGCGAUAAGUAAUGUGAAUUGCAGAAUUCAGUGAAUCAUCGAAUCUUUGAACGCACCUUGCGCUCCUUGGUAUUCCGAGGAGCAUGCCUGUUUGAGUGUCAUGAAAUCUUCAACCUACAAGCUUUUGUGGUUUGUAGGCUUGGACUUGGAGGCUUGUCGGCCGUUAUCGGUCGGCUCCUCUUAAAUGCAUUAGCUUGGUUCCUUGCGGAUCGGCUCUCGGUGUGAUAAUGUCUACGCCGCGACCGUGAAGCGUUUGGCGAGCUUCUAACCGUCUUAUAAGACAGCUUUAUGACCUCUGACCUCAAAUCAGGUAGGACUACCCGCUGAACUUAAGCAUAUCAAUAAGCGGAGGAAAAGAAACUAACAAGGAUUCCCCUAGUAACUGCGAGUGAAGCGGGAAAAGCUCAAAUUUAAAAUCUGGCGGUCUUUGGCCGUCCGAGUUGUAGUCUGGAGAAGUGCUUUCCGCGCUGGACCGUGUCAAUUUCUCCCUGA
rnacentral:rRNA from 1 species